rnacentral:rRNA from 1 species
GACGAACGCUGGCGGCGUGCUUAACACAUGCAAGUCGAACGGAAAGGCCCUGCUUUUGUGGGGUGCUCGAGUGGCGAACGGGUGAGUAACACGUGAGUAACCUGCACUUGACUUUGGGAUAACUUCAGGAAACUGGGGCUAAUACCGGAUAGGAGCUCCUGCUGCAUGGUGGGGGUUGGAAAGUUUCGGCGGUUGGGGAUGGACUCGCGGCUUAUCAGCUUGUUGGUGGGGUAGUGGCUUACCAAGGCUUUGACGGGUAGCCGGCCUGAGAGGGUGACCGGCCACAUUGGGACUGAGAUACGGCCCAGACUCCUACGGGAGGCAGCAGGGGGGAAUAUUGCACAAUGGGCGGAAGCCUGAUGCAGCAACGCCGCGUGCGGGAUGACGGCCUUCGGGUGGUAAACCGCUGUCGCCUGUGACGAAGCGUGAGUGACGGUAAUGGGUAAAGAAGCACCGGCUAACUACGUG